rnacentral:snRNA from 1 species
CUACCAGUAUAACUUUCUU